UUUGACAAAUUAAAGGACAUAUUCUUGUCAAUCCAUCCAUUAAGAUUGCAUUUAAGAAAAAAAAGCUGAUACAGUAACUAGUUAUGAACAACAGGGAGAGACUCUCUGCUGCAAAAAAGGAUAUCAGCUACGUAUACACGUCGAGGGAGGGAAUGAAAAAGCUCUCGAUUUUUUUGGGAUUUUCUUUUUUCUAGCCUAAUUUAAUUCCUAUCUGAGCAAAAUAGGAAAAAAAAUUCAGAGAAAAAGUAAAGAGAAUUAUUAAAAACCGAUGGGCAUCAUGGGCUCAUGUCCUGCCAAAUAAAAACAGUCAGAGGAUUUCUGGUUUCGGAGGGAGAUUGAGAUCAAAAUCAAGGGAUUUCCGUGGUGGGUUGAUCUCAUGUUGGUUCAAAUCAACGACGGAUGACGAAUCAGAAUCACUCUGGACCCCCCCGCCACCACCAUUUCCAGCAGUGGACAUCGCCUGAUCAUGAAGAUGUUGUCGCUUAUUCUGAUGAUCAAACAACAGUCUUUGAUACUGACUCUUCACCAUCGCAUCGAAAUAAAACACGCGUUGAUGAUUCCCCACCGGUGCUGUAAAAACACCGCCCACAGCCGGCACAGGCUGAAAGGGAAACCUCACAGCAGCGGAUCGGCCGAGAUUAAGAUCCAACGGCGAGGAGGAUUCCAUCAUCAGAGCAGGCGUCUCCCGGCUCGAUGACUCCACGGUGCUACUGGGACUCGGGCUGUGAUUAUUAGCACCAGUAUCAUUCUUCUUAUUGACAAUAAUAUUCUUGUUCACAUUUUCGUCGGCCGGAGGGAAGUUCGUCUUGGCUUUGGCGCCCCGGAACUCUCGGGCGGCGGCAUCAUAUGCUCGAGCGGCUUCCUCAGCCGUGUCGAAUGUCCCAAGCCAGACUCGGCUCUUCUUGCCGGGAUCCCUGAUCUCGGCGGCGUAUCUGCCCCAUGGCCUCUUCCUCACACCCCUAAAAUGCACCUCCUUAACUCCGGCGGCGCCGCAGUUACCGUUGGCUUUAACGGCCGCCGUCUUGUCCCUCGGCGCCAUAUGGAAUAAUUAAGGGUAGCAAGUGGUGGUUCCUAUUUUGUAAAGGGAAAAUAAAAUAAGAGGGGAGCUGAUAGCUUGGAAAGGAGAAGAAAAGGGUGGUUUUAUAUAGAGUGGGAGGUGGAUAGGGGAGAGGAAUCGGCGAGGAAUUGAAGGUGGGGGCACACAGUCAACCUGUGAUUUGACUGAGAGGGGCGGCUGGCGAUGGAGGAUUACGUGGCAUGUGGGAUGUCGAGAGAGCAAAGGGUAUGAAGGGUAUAUUUGGGAGAAAAUGGAGCGUAUAUCAUCCAACGGCUGUAAGCUUACAGUGAUUGAGUGCGGUCGGGUUCUCUCGCUCUCACACGCUCUCUUUAGAGCGUGCAGAAAAAAUAAAUGGGUAAUUAUUAAGGGGCGCGUGAGGGCGGCGAUGAAGGAAGCGAAGGUGGUAAUAAGGAGGUUGAACAAGUUGUCGGCAUAUUCUGCUAUCUCGCCGCGUGACUUGGAUCGGUU
rnacentral:misc_RNA from 1 species